rnacentral:tRNA from 1 species
CACCACUUAGUUUACUAAAAAUAGAGGCUUUGGGGGCCCCAGAGAUCUGUGGCCUGUGUGGCAUUUUGGUGCAGAUAGCGGUGA